CUUCUCUUGUUCGUAUCCGUUAAUUCCUUUACACAUUCCCGCCAACAAAUUAAAACAAACAAAUCAGUUAAAACACUGUACUCGGUAUAUCCAAAUACCCAUCA